CUGAGCCACUGACAGGUAGGGAGGACCAGGCACUGCACAGAUGAGAAAACAAGUCAAAACCAGUGAUUUACUUUGAGGCAUAAUUU